CUCGGGAAUCUUGUGGAAACGACGAGAGUGCCCUUCGGGAGCCCGAAGACAGGUGCUGCAUGGCUGUCGUCAGCUCGUGUCGUGAGAUGUUGGGUUAAGUCCCGCAACGACGCGCAACCCCUAUCUCUAGUUGCCAGCGAUUCGGUCGGGGACUCUAGAGAUACUGCCCGUUAACGGGAGGAAGUGGGGAUGACGUCAAGUCCUCAUGGCCCUUAUGCCCAGGGCUACACACGUGCUACAAUGGGCGGUACAAAGGGUAGCGAUGCCGCGAGGUGAAGCCAAUCCCAAAAAGCCGUCCACAGUUCGGAUUGGAGUCUGCAACUCGCCUGCAUGAAGUUGGAGUUGCUAGUAAACGCAGGUCAGCCAUACUGCGUUGAAUACGUUCCCGGGGCUU
rnacentral:rRNA from 1 species